GUGAGGAAUAUUGGUCAAUGGGCGAAAGCCUGAACCAGCCAUGUCGCGUGAAGGAUGAAGGUCCUAUGGAUUGUAAACUUCUUUUGCAGGAGGGUAAAGUGAGCUACGUGUAGUUCAUUGCAAGUACCCUGCGAAUAAGCAUCGGCUAACUCCGUGCCAGCAGCCGCGGUAAUACGGAGGAUGCGAGCGUUAUCCGGAUUUAUUGGGUUUAAAGGGUGCGUAGGCGGACUAAUUAGUCAGCGGUGAAAUUUUGCGGCUCAACCGUAAAACUGCCGUUGAAACUGUUAGUCUUGAGUGCGGUAGAGGUAGGCGGAAUGUGUGGUGUAGCGGUGAAAUGCUUAGAUAUCACACAGAACACCGAUUGCGUAGGCAGCUUACUGGAGCGCAACUGACGCUGAGGCACGAAAGCGUGGGGAUCGAACAGGAUUAGAAACCCUUGUAGUCC
rnacentral:rRNA from 1 species